GCUCCAUCAUAGACGCCCCCGUCUGCCUCUCCACCGCCCUGUCAGAUACAGCCGCCACCAUCUCCACCGCCGCAGCACCACCGUUGAGAUGCCCAGUAAUACUGGCAGAGGAAGAAUCAGAAUUCCCUAAGGUCCCGUUACAGGAACAGCAACAAUUACAGGUUUUAGUACGGUUGGGUGACGUGGCAUGAGAAGAAGAGAGAAGGGAUUUGGGUGACUUUGAUCGGAUGAUGAGGAGGGCGAGCAUGAGAGAGAGGAUAGUAAGAGAGGAGGCUAAUAAAAAAGGCUGAGAAGAGAAAGCGAGAGUGAGAGCAGAGGUAGUAAUCUCCAUUCAUGACAUUAAAGCUACAUAGAAGAACAUGAAACCCUAACUGGAAUCUCGUGUUUGCCCUUUUUUUUUUAAUUUCUGCAGAAAUUUUUUUUUAAGGGAACCCUAAUGGACAAUGAUGAAGCAGAAGAGUCGAAUUUUG
rnacentral:misc_RNA from 1 species